rnacentral:rRNA from 1 species
GAUGAACGCUGGCGGCGUGCUUAACACAUGCAAGUCGAACGGGAAACCUUUUAUUGAAGCUUCGGCAGAUUUAGAUUGUUUCUAGUGGCGGACGGGUGAGUAACGCGUGGGUAACCUGCCUUAUACAGGGGGAUAACAGUCAGAAAUGACUGCUAAUACCGCAUAAGCGCACAGAGCUGCAUGGCUCAGUGUGAAAAACUCCGGUGGUAUAAGAUGGACCCGCGUUGGAUUAGCUAGUUGGUGAGGUAACGGCCCACCAAGGCGACGAUCCAUAGCCGGCCUGAGAGGGUGAACGGCCACAUUGGGACUGAGACACGGCCCAGACUCCUACGGGAGGCAGCAGUGGGGAAUAUUGCACAAUGGGGGAAACCCUGAUGCAGCGACGCCGCGUGAAGGAAGAAGUAUCUCGGUAUGUAAACUUCUAUCAGCAGGGAAGAAAAUGACGGU